rnacentral:rRNA from 1 species
UACGUAGGGGGCAAGCGUUGUCCGGAAUCAUUGGGCGUAAAGAGCGUGUAGGCGGCCCGAUAAGUCCGCUGUGAAAGUCCAGGGCUCAACCCUGGGAUGCCGGUGGAUACUGUCGGGCUCGAGUCCGGAAGAGGAGUGUGGAAUUCCUGGUGUAGAGGUGAAAUUCGUAGAUAUCAGGAGGAACACCAGUGGCGAAGGCGGCUUUCUGGACGGUAACUGACGCUG